rnacentral:lncRNA from 1 species
UGAAAUCGAAAACAUCAAAGUAGCAACAACAACAUAACCCAAACAUAUCUGCUACAUUUCGAGACCAUCUCACCACCACCGUGCUACACAUCUCAUGAACUUGUCCAUGAUACAUAACCACCACCUAUCAUGAACUCAACCGUGUGAUAUACAACCAUACAGUUUCCUCACUUGCGAUGAACUAUUUCCUCCCGCUACAAAACAAAACUCUCAACACCAACCUUAAACAACAUCACGGGACAUUUGGUAAUAAAUUCUGAUUAAGAACCC